CCUACGGGGGGCUGCAGUGGGGAAUAUUGCACAAUGGGCGCAAGCCUGAUGCAGCCAUGCCGCGUGUGUGAAGAAGGCCUUCGGGUUGUAAAGCACUUUCAGCGGGGAGGAAGGCGGUGAGGUUAAUAACCUCAUCGAUUGACGUUACCCGCAGAAGAAGCACCGGCUAACUCCGUGCCAGCAGCCGCGGUAAUACGGAGGGUGCAAGCGUUAAUCGGAAUUACUGGGCGUAAAGCGCACGCAGGCGGUCUGUCAAGUCGGAUGUGGAAUCCCCGGGCUCAACCUGGGAACUGCAUUCGAAACUGGCAGGCUAGAGUCUUGUAGAGGGGGGUAGAAUUCCAGGUGUAGCGGUGAAAUGCGUAGAGAUCUGGAGGAAUACCGGUGGCGAAGGCGGCCCCCUGGACAAAGACUGACGCUCAGGUGCGAAAGCGUGGGGAGCAAACAGGAUUAGAUACCCCAGUAGUC
rnacentral:rRNA from 1 species